GCAUUAUGUCCACAGGAACCACAGGACCACUAGCUUCAGCCUGUUCUGCACGUAAGCAGAUCAGUGGAGGAUGAAUGGAGGGAGGAGGCAGCAGGUUCAGAAGCAGAUCUCACAUUUCAAAGACUAAAAUCAUGGAAGCACAAAGCAGCAAAGACGUCUGAAGUGAACGGAACAAACUGGGAUGUCACCUUCAGCUUGUCAGACAGGGUCUCCAGCUGUGGCUUUGGACCGGGACAGUGAGCAACACCCCGGUGAGGAGCAGAGGAUAACACGACAUCCCUGUUGUAUGCAGUGAAUGCUUUUUGGACCGCAUCAGCAUCAUCUUCCUGACAACCUGAGGCACAAAUAAGACCAUGGCUUUGGGAUCCUACGUGAUCUCCCUGGAAAAAAAAAAAAAAAAAG